GGGCACACGGCGGAUGCCUUGGCACCAGGAGACGAUGAAGGACGCGGAAACCUGCGAAAAUCCACGGGGAGCUGGACUCGAGCUUUGAUCCGUGGGUGUCCGAAUGGGGCAACCCGGUGGGCGUCAUGGCCCAUCAUCGUACGCUGAAUACAUAGGCGUGCGAAGUCAACGCGGGGAACUGAAACAUCUAAGUACCCGUAGGAAAGGAAAUCAACUGAGACUCCGUGAGUAGUGGCGAGCGAAAGCGGACUAGCCCAAACCGUUGGGGUAACUCAACGGGGUUGUGGGGCUCCGACAUGGGAUCUGGAGGACUAGCAGAACGGCUUGGGAAGGCCGGCCAGAGCGGGUGACAGCCCCGUAUGCGAAAGUCCGAGAGACCCUAGGACGAACCCCGAGUAGGGCGGGGCACGUGGAACCCUGUCCGAAGCUGGGAGGACCAUCUUCCAAGGCUAAGUACUCCCUGGUGACCGAUAGUGAACGAGUACCGUGAGGG
rnacentral:rRNA from 1 species